rnacentral:rRNA from 1 species
GACGAACGCUGGCGGCGUGCUUAACACAUGCAAGUCGAACGGAAAGGCUCCAGCUUGCUGGAGUACUCGAGUGGCGAACGGGUGAGUAACACGUGGGUAAUCUGCCCUGCACUCUGGGAUAAGCCUGGGAAACUGGGUCUAAUACUGGAUAUGACCUUUCUCCUUAUGGGGUUUGGUGGAAAGUUUUUCGGUGUAGGAUGAGCCCGCGGCCUAUCAGCUUGUUGGUGGGGUGAUGGCUUACCAAGGCGACGACGGGUAGCCGGCCUGAGAGGGUGAUCGGCCACAUUGGGACUGAGAUACGGCCCAGACUCCUACGGGAGGCAGCAGUGGGGAAUAUUGCACAAUGGGCGGAAGCCUGAUGCAGCGACGCCGCGUGAGGGAUGUCGGCCUUCGGGUUGUAAACCUCUUUCAGCAGGGACGAAGCGUAAGUGACGGUACCUGCAGAAGAAGCACCGGCUAACUAUGUG